ACUAAGCAUAUCAAUAAGCGGAGGAAAAGAAACUAACAAGGAUUCCCCUAGUAACUGCGAGUGAAGCGGGAAAAGCUCAAAUUUAAAAUCUGGCAGUCUCUGGCUGUCCGAGUUGUAAUCUAGAGAAGUAAUGCCCGUGCUGGACCGUGUAUAAGUCUCCUGGGAUGGGGCGUCAUAGAGGGUGAGAAUCCCGUCUUUGACACGGACUACCAGUGCAUUGUGGUAUGCUCUCAAAGAGUCGAGUUGUUUGGGAAUGCAGCUCAAAAUGGGUGGUAAAUUCCAUCUAAAGCUAAAUAUUGGCGAGAGACCGAUAGCGAACAAGUACCGUGAGGGAAAGAUGAAAAGAACUUUGGAAAGAGAGUUAAACAGUACGUGAAAUUGCUGAAAGGGAAACGCUUGAAGUCAGUCGCGUUGGCCGGGAAUCAGCCUUGCUUUUGCAUGGUGUACUUUCUGGUUGACGGGUCAGCAUCAAUUUUGACCGCUGGAAAAAGGCCUGGGGAAUGUGGCAGCUUCGGCUGUGUUAUAGCCCCUAGUCGCAUACAGUGGUUGGGAUUGAGGAACUCAGCACGCCGCAAGGCCGGGUUUCGACCACGUUCGUGCUUAGGAUGCUGGCAUAAUGGCUUUAAGCGACCCGUCUUGAAACACGGACCAAGGAGUCUAACAUGCCUGCGAGUAUUUGGGUGGAAAACUCAAGUGCGUAAUGAAAGUGAAAGUUGAGAUCCCUGUCGUGGGGAGCAUCGACGCCCGGACCAGAACUUUUGGGACGGAUCCGCGGUGGAGCAUGUAUGUUGGGACCCGAAAGAUGGUGAACUAUGCCUGAAUAGGGUGAAGCCAGAGGAAACUCUGGUGGAGGCUCGUAGCGAUUCUGACGUGCAAAUCGAUCGUCAAAUUUGGGUAUAGGGGCGAAAGACUAAUCGAA
rnacentral:rRNA from 1 species